rnacentral:rRNA from 1 species
UACGGAGGGGGCGAGCGUUGUCCGGAAUCACUGGGCGUAAAGGGCGCGUAGGCGGCUUCUCAAGCGUGUGGUGAAAGUCCGGGGCUCAACCCCGGAUCGGCCGUGCGGACUGGGGAGCUCGAGUUCUGUAGAGGCGGGUGGAAUUCCGGGUGUAGCGGUGGAAUGCGUAGAGAUCCGGAAGAACACCGGUGGCGAAGGCGGCCCGCUGGGCAGAGACUGACGCUGAGGCGCGACAGCGUGGGGAGCGAACAGG